AAGUCGUAACAAGGUUUCCGUAGGUGAACCUGCGGAAGGAUCAUUGCAAAUAAAGCUGGUAGGAAGUGGGGUCUUGAUCUGUAAGUGGUAGAGCGAACAGUCCGGCUGCCUCCCGAAAUGUCUUACAUGUCCCCCACAGCCUGAAGGCCGAAUUACAACCCUUGAUUAUCUACACUUGUUGCUUUGGUAGUGCUUGCAAGUGCCCAGAAGGACCCCAACUGCUCCUUCUGCAUUUAGUGACGUCUGAGUACUAUAUAAUAUUUAAAA
rnacentral:misc_RNA from 1 species